rnacentral:lncRNA from 1 species
AAGAGCAAGCUGCACCUUUGCCUGCUUCCUGUUGACUCUGAAUGAGGAGAAGGUUGCUCAAGCACGCACUCCCACUAGUGAAGCUCAGCAGAGAGCUGGUGAUUGGGGACUUAAUGAGAUGGCACCUGUGAAACCCAAGUACAUGCAUGAAAGCUUAUUGCUAUUUUGGUUUUUGUAAGAUUGAAAGUCAGGGGCACUCAGCAUGGUCAUAUUUAUCAAGCAGAAAGA